rnacentral:rRNA from 1 species
CCUACGGGAGGCAGCAGUGAGGAAUAUUGGUCAAUGGGCGAGAGCCUGAACCAGCCAAGUAGCGUGCAGGAUGACGGCCCUAUGGGUUGUAAACUGCUUUUGCAUGGGAAUAAAGUCGGGGACGUGUCCCCGUUUGUAUGUACCAUGAGAAUAAGGACCGGCUAAUUCCGUGCCAGCAGCCGCGGUAAUA